GCUCCCGUAGUUUAAUGGUAGAACGCCGGUCUUAUAAGCCGGAUAAGCUCUAGAUUUGGGCACGGUAUCGGUUCGAGUCCGGUCGGGAGUACCA
rnacentral:tRNA from 1 species